rnacentral:misc_RNA from 1 species
AAAAUUAAAACCCCUCUACAUCCUUACCAUAUGAUCACAUAAAACAACACUUCAAUUUUAGCAUAACAAGCUACUUAGUCUGUGGGUGUAUGCAUGUUACUGUUUACAUAGGCCUACAGGCAUUAGAGUGGUUCUCUGCUGCUAUAUUUUCCCAAGUUCUGUGUUCCAAUUUUGGUGGUUUUGGACUUCAAAUGUAACAUGUUGGUCUGGAAAAAAACACUUAACAGUACCACUCUCUCAAGUCAAAAAGCACAAUGUACAAGCUAUACAAUUUUAAUGAAGUUUCAAAAACCAGCAGGGUAUCCUCCUUUUCUUGGAUCACUAAUUCCCACAAGUUUUCCAAUAGAUUUAUUUCCUCUAAAAGCC